rnacentral:lncRNA from 11 species
ACCAAGAGGACCAAAAGACCCACAUGGAACACAGGAAGAGGAAAAAGAGCCAGGAUCCUCAGGAAAUAUCAGCCAUCAUGGCCCAUUAUGAGAGUCUAUGGGAGUUGCUAUCCAAAACAUCUAAACAACGAGAAGUUGAGGUUGAGAGCUCCUGCUAUUGAUUAACAUUCAGCUAAGCUAACACCUUGUGAAAGCUCAAACAACUUGCAGCCCCAAAACUGACCCUGAAAGAAACCAGAUCCAAAGAGCCAGGAAGGAGAUCAAGAAGAGUCAAGGAGAAAAUAUGCUACAUAAAUAGUUUGCCAAUGUACUUGUGUAGGGGACAUUCUGGAUAAGAGUUGAAUAGAUUUCAAACUCAUUAAAACUAAUUUCUGACUACUUCCCACCCACCAGUUCUAGUAUCUUGUUUGUAAAAGCCCUUAUUCCAUUAUCAAAUUAAUAAAAAG